rnacentral:rRNA from 1 species
UACGGAGGGUGCGAGCGUUGUCCGGAUUUAUUGGGUUUAAAGGGUGCGUAGGCGGCCCGUUAAGUCAGUGGUGAAAGCCUCCAGCUCAACUGGAGAACUGCCAUUGAUACUGACAGGCUUGAGUACAGACGAGGUUGGCGGAAUUGAUUGUGUAGCGGUGAAAUGCAUAGAUACAAUCAAGAACUCCGAUUGCGUAGGCAGCUAACUAGGCUGUAACUGACGCUGAGGCACGAAAGCGUGGGGAGCGAACAGG